rnacentral:rRNA from 1 species
ACAAGCAGCGGAGCGUGUGGUUUAAUUCGAUGUUACACGAAGAACCUUACCAGGGUUUGACAUACAGGUGGUAGAGAACUGAAAGGAUCGACCUUCGGGAGCCUGAACAGGUGCUGCAUGGCUGUCGUCAGCUCGUGUCGUGAGAUGUUCGGUUAAGUCCGCUAACGAGCGCAACCCUCGCUGUGUGUUACAAGUGUCACACGGUACUGCCGGUCUAAAACCGGAGGAAGGUGGGAUGACGUCAAGUCAGCAUGGCCUUUAUAUCCUGGGCUACACACACGCUACAAUGGCCGGUACAGUAGGUAGCGAAGCCGCGAGGUGGAGCCAAUCCACAAAGCCGGUCUCAGUUCAGAUUGCAGGCUGCAACCCGCCUGCAUGAAGAUGGAGUUGCUAGUAACCGCAGGUCAGCUAUACUGCGGUGAAUACGUUCCCGGGGCUU